GGGUUGUGAGGUUAAGCGACUAAGCGUACACGGUGGAUGCCCUGGCAGUCAGAGGCGAUGAAGGACGUGCUAAUCUGCGAUAAGCGUCGGUAAGGUGAUAUGAACCGUUAUAACCGGCGAUUUCCGAAUGGGGAAACCCAGUGUGAUUCGUCACACUAUCAUUAACUGAAUCCAUAGGUUAAUGAGGCGAACCGGGGGAACUGAAACAUCUAAGUACCCCGAGGAAAAGAAAUCAACCGAGAUUCCCCCAGUAGCGGCGAGCGAACGGGGAGCAGCCCAGAGCCUGAAUCAGUGUGUGUGUUAGUGGAAGCGUCUGGAAAGGCGCGCGAUACAGGGUGACAGCCCCGUACACAAAAAUGCACAUGCUGUGAGCUCGAUGAGUAGGGCGGGACACGUGGUAUCCUGUCUGAAUAUGGGGGGACCAUCCUCCAAGGCUAAAUACUCCUGACUGACCGAUAGUGAACCAGUACCGUGAGGGAAAGGCGAAAAGAACCCCGGCGAGGGGAGUGAAAAAGAACCUGAAACCGUGUACGUACAAGCAGUGGGAGCACGCUUAGGCGUGUGACUGCGUACCUUUUGUAUAAUGGGUCAGCGACUUAUAUUCUGUAGCAAGGUUAACCGAAUAGGGGAGCCGAAGGGAAACCGAGUCUUAACUGGGCGUUAAGUUGCAGGGUAUAGACCCGAAACCCGGUGAUCUAGCCAUGGGCAGGUUGAAGGUUGGGUAACACUAACUGGAGGACCGAACCGACUAAUGUUGAAAAAUUAGCGGAUGACUUGUGGCUGGGGGUGAAAGGCCAAUCAAACCGGGAGAUAGCUGGUUCUCCCCGAAAGCUAUUUAGGUAGCGCCUCGUGAAUUCAUCUCCGGGGGUAGAGCACUGUUUCGGCAAGGGGGUCAUCCCGACUUACCAACCCGAUGCAAACUACGAAUACCGGAGAAUGUUAUCACGGGAGACACACGGCGGGUGCUAACGUCCGUCGUGAAGAGGGAAACAACCCAGACCGCCAGCUAAGGUCCCAAAGUCAUGGUUAAGUGGGAAACGAUGUGGGAAGGCCCAGACAGCCAGGAUGUUGGCUUAGAAGCAGCCAUCAUUUAAAGAAAGCGUAAUAGCUCACUGGUCGAGUCGGCCUGCGCGGAAGAUGUAACGGGGCUAAACCAUGCACCGAAGCUGCGGCAGCGACGCUUAUGCGUUGUUGGGUAGGGGAGCGUUCCGUAAGCCUGCGAAGGUGUGCUGUGAGGCAUGCUGGAGGUAUCAGAAGUGCGAAUGCUGACAUAAGUAACGAUAAAGCGGGUGAAAAGCCCGCUCGCCGGAAGACCAAGGGUUCCUGUCCAACGUUAAUCGGGGCAGGGUGAGUCGACCCCUAAGGCGAGGCCGAAAGGCGUAGUCGAUGGGAAACAGGUUAAUAUUCCUGUACUUGGUGUUACUGCGAAGGGGGGACGGAGAAGGCUAUGUUGGCCGGGCGACGGUUGUCCCGGUUUAAGCGUGUAGGCUGGUUUUCCAGGCAAAUCCGGAAAAUCAAGGCUGAGGCGUGAUGACGAGGCACUACGGUGCUGAAGCAACAAAUGCCCUGCUUCCAGGAAAAGCCUCUAAGCAUCAGGUAACAUCAAAUCGUACCCCAAACCGACACAGGUGGUCAGGUAGAGAAUACCAAGGCGCUUGAGAGAACUCGGGUGAAGGAACUAGGCAAAAUGGUGCCGUAACUUCGGGAGAAGGCACGCUGAUAUGUAGGUGAAGUCCCUCGCGGAUGGAGCUGAAAUCAGUCGAAGAUACCAGCUGGCUGCAACUGUUUAUUAAAAACACAGCACUGUGCAAACACGAAAGUGGACGUAUACGGUGUGACGCCUGCCCGGUGCCGGAAGGUUAAUUGAUGGGGUUAGCGCAAGCGAAGCUCUUGAUCGAAGCCCCGGUAAACGGCGGCCGUAACUAUAACGGUCCUAAGGUAGCGAAAUUCCUUGUCGGGUAAGUUCCGACCUGCACGAAUGGCGUAAUGAUGGCCAGGCUGUCUCCACCCGAGACUCAGUGAAAUUGAACUCGCUGUGAAGAUGCAGUGUACCCGCGGCAAGACGGAAAGACCCCGUGAACCUUUACUAUAGCUUGACACUGAACAUUGAGCCUUGAUGUGUAGGAUAGGUGGGAGGCUUUGAAGUGUGGACGCCAGUCUGCAUGGAGCCGACCUUGAAAUACCACCCUUUAAUGUUUGAUGUUCUAACGUUGACCCGUAAUCCGGGUUGCGGACAGUGUCUGGUGGGUAGUUUGACUGGGGCGGUCUCCUCCUAAAGAGUAACGGAGGAGCACGAAGGUUGGCUAAUCCUGGUCGGACAUCAGGAGGUUAGUGCAAUGGCAUAAGCCAGCUUGACUGCGAGCGUGACGGCGCGAGCAGGUGCGAAAGCAGGUCAUAGUGAUCCGGUGGUUCUGAAUGGAAGGGCCAUCGCUCAACGGAUAAAAGGUACUCCGGGGAUAACAGGCUGAUACCGCCCAAGAGUUCAUAUCGACGGCGGUGUUUGGCACCUCGAUGUCGGCUCAUCACAUCCUGGGGCUGAAGUAGGUCCCAAGGGUAUGGCUGUUCGCCAUUUAAAGUGGUACGCGAGCUGGGUUUAGAACGUCGUGAGACAGUUCGGUCCCUAUCUGCCGUGGGCGCUGGAGAAUUGAGGGGGGCUGCUCCUAGUACGAGAGGACCGGAGUGGACGCAUCACUGGUGUUCGGGUUGUCAUGCCAAUGGCACUGCCCGGUAGCUAAAUGCGGAAGAGAUAAGUGCUGAAAGCAUCUAAGCACGAAACUUGCCCCGAGAUGAGUUCUCCCUGACUCCUUGAGAGUCCUGAAGGAACGUUGAAGACGACGACGUUGAUAGGCCGGGUGUGUAAGCGCAGCGAUGCGUUGAGCUAACCGGUACUAAUGAACCGUGAGGCUUAACCUUACAACGCCGAAG
rnacentral:rRNA from 1 species